CUCAGAUACCCCCCGGUCUUUCCUUGACCCUGCAGGUCCUGAGACAACACUGUCCCCACGAGGGCUCCAACCCCACUUAGCCUCUAGAGUGAUCCCCUUCAGUGGAGCAGACUU